CGGUCCUGAGUAGAGUGGCGCACGGGUGAGUAACACGUGGAUAACCUACCCUAAAGUCCGGGAUAACAUUCCGAAAGGGAUGCUAAUACCUGAUAAGCCUACGACCUCCCCGGAGGAUGUAGGAAAAGAUUUAUCGCUUUAGGAUGGGUCCGCGGUCCAUUAGCUAGUUGGUAGGGUAAUGGCCUACCAAGGCUACGAUGGAUAGCUGGUCUGAGAGGAUGAUCAGCCACACUGGAACUGAGACACGGUCCAGACUCC
rnacentral:rRNA from 1 species